rnacentral:tRNA from 1 species
GCCAGCAUGGUGUAGUGGUUUGAGCAUUGGGCUAGGACUCUGGAGACCAGGAUUCAAAUUCCAGUUUGGCA